rnacentral:rRNA from 1 species
UGAAAUUAUAGUACCUGUGAAGAUGCAGGUUACCCGCGACAGGACGGAAAGACCCCGUGGAGCUUUACUGCAGCCUGAUAUUGAAUGUUGGUACAGCUUGUACAGGAUAGGUAGGAGCCUUGGAAACCGGAGCGCCAGCUUCGGUGGAGGCAUCGGUGGGAUACUACCCUGGCUGUAUUGACCUUCUAACCCGCCGCCCUUAUCGGGCGGGGAGACAGUGUCAGGUGGGCAGUUUGACUGGGGCGGU